AUACUCAGGUAAUCGCUGCAUGCUACAUGCAGAGGAAAGUCCAUGCUCACACAAACUGAGAUGUUUGUAGUGUUCGUGCUUGACGAAUUCAUAAGUCAAGGUAACCAUCAUGGUUAACGGCAGGAGGUAUUCCUAAGUCUUCGGAUAUGGGAUACGUACCUUGAAAGUGCCACAGUGACGUAGCUGAAUGGGAAACGAUUCAGGUGGAACGAGGUAAACCCCACGAGUGAGCAACCCAAAUUUUGGUAGGGGCAUCCUUCAGUAGGGAAAUGAACCGAAGUAGGGACAAGUUUUACACUUGUAGAUAGAUGAUUACAACCAAUGUACGAGGCUGACCACCACUUGUAGUACGUUGGCGACAGAACAUGGCUUAUCGAG
rnacentral:RNase_P_RNA from 2 species